CUGACUACCAGUGGGAAAAGAUCUCUUCUGGAGAUCCUCUGCUCUGGAGUUCCAUAGCGAGCCCAGUAUACGGGAUAUAUUUGUGAUGCCUAAGAAGAAAGUAUGCAGCUACCUGGGAGUAGAGAACUCUUGCAAGUAAAACUGUAUAGUAAGGACUCAGAGUGGAAUUGCUGCCUAUUCACUGAGACAGAAAGCAGAUGCUGAAGAGUAUUAUGUACUGAGGAACUGAAAUAAAUAAAUAAAUAUGGAAAUCUGUGGAGGGUGACCUUCCUUGCUUUUAAUAUCAGAAAAUGGCCAAUGGACUACAUCAUGAAAAGCCUUUCUUUCCUUAUUCUAAUCCAACUCAUUGGGAAUUCAGCUGCUCAGAGGCUUUGGAUGUACGCGAGCAAUGAGGUGGUGCUAAAGAUCUAUCUAAAGAUACUGAAGCUUAUUGUACAUUGCUCACUGGAGGCACAAGGAAACAAGAUAGACAUAAUGAUAUUCAGAGUUACUUCAAGAUCAUAAUGCCAGCAGUUCUUCUCUUGCCUAAAGCGAUGUGGCAUCAUUUCUCCUCGUGGGACAGUUUCCUGUUAACUUAUCUAGAAGCACUGCUGACUUUUCCCGCUGACCCUGUCCUGUCAAAACAUAGUUUUUGCAAUGUAUAAGACUUCCAUGAAAGUUUCUAAUACCAGAUGUUGGCAUUUAUCUUGUCAAACCAAUGUUGCUUGUGUGAAAUAAUGGAUAGACUCCACAGUGCUAAAAUUGGAAAGAAUACAAUUCCCUUAGGGUCGUUCAGUGACCUGCCUGAAACUUUGCUGCUCUAUUUUCUGUCUCUACAUGGAGUUUUGUUAUGGAGUAACCUUCCUCUGAACUCGAUCAAUUCUGUAAUUUGCCAAGAGCAGGAAUCUUGUACAGUGUGUGAAAGAGUGUGAAUGAACAGUCCCCAAUGGGAUGGUUGGGGCACUUUAAAGUCUGCUUAGGAAAAGUCUGUUUUUGUGUGACAUCAGUGCUGUACAGUUUAUAACAUCCCAUAGGAUGGAAGUGUCUCAUCUUUCAUAAAAUGAAAGUUGUCCCAGAGCAGUGUUGCUAACUUUGAAGUUGCACGUUGGGUUUAUAUCCCUGUCGUGCAAUAUUGUCAGUGCAAAUGAUGUGGGUCUAGGCCACCAGUGAAUGGUCCUAGUACUAUGAUGUGUUGGGAGUACAAGGAAAUUAAGUUAUUUUGGAGACAUCUGUAUCUUGCUUCUUGGGACUUGACUGUUUCUGCAAUGGCUAGCACUCAUCUCUUAGCUUAUUGGUGGAGCUGCUUUUGGCUCUGGUGCAAUAGUUAAUCUUACUAAACUACUGGCU